GAUGAACGCUGGCGGCGUGCCUAAUACAUGCAAGUCGAGCGAACAGAUGAGGAGCUUGCUCCUCUGACGUUAGCGGCGGACGGGUGAGUAACACGUGGAUAACCUACCUAUAAGACUGGGAUAACUUCGGGAAACCGGAGCUAAGACCGGAUAAUAUAUUGAACCGCAUGGUUCAAUAGUGAAAGACGGUUUUGCUGUCACUUAUAGAUUGAUCCGCGCCGCAUUAGCUAGUUGGUAAGGUAACGGCUUACCAAGGCAACGAUGCGUAGCCGACCUGAGAGGGUGAUCGGCCACACUGGAACUGAGACACGGUCCAGACUCCUACGGGAGGCAGCAGUAGGGAAUCUUCCGCAAUGGGCGAAAGCCUGACGGAGCAACGCCGCGUGAGUGAUGAAGGUCUUCGGAUCGUAAAACUAUGUUAUUAGGGAAGAACAAAUGUGUAAGUAACUAUGCACGUCUUGACGGUACCUAAUCAGAAAGCCACGGCUAACUACGUG
rnacentral:rRNA from 1 species